CAAGUGACAGUUAACAGUCAGGCUGAGCCUUAACAUGGUCAGCAUGGAUCUUCAUGACAGAGAAAGGAAAAGCUUGGAUGGGGGUGGUGGUGGAAGCUGAAUUAAUUUUUCAGGGCCAAUGUGGUAUAGCAGAUAAAGUGUUGGACUAUGGCUCAGGAGACCUGGGUUCAAAUCCCUCCUUCGCCUUCAAAACUUUCUGGAGAAUAUCAAAGAUGGUUAUAAGGAAUGCCAGACAGCAGGAGAGCGCAAGUUCUUGAACAAGGAGUCAGUCAUUCAGCCAAGAAAGGACAAUCAACAACAUCGAAGGUUGUGUGGCAAUUUGAACAAGCCAGGGACAAUGUGAAGAAAACCGUCCAGAGAACCUCCACAAGGAACCUUCUUUCUACAAUUAAUGUGCAGCCAUGUUAGUUUCUGAAAGGUGAGGA